GAAAGGAUUUAAACGAGGGGGGAACACGGAUAGCUCCGCUUAGCUUGCUCUAUCCUCUCUGUGAUCCGCAUCCAAAGCAGAGCUGUGGACAAUCACUACUUGAAACUCGUUCAACUGCUUUUUUCAUCUCGCUUGGCACAAACAUGCAACAACCACCCGUACUGCACUCCUGGCAGUCGCACACGCACCAGCUCGAAAGACAUGGCUCCAUCGUGGAUUCCCGGUUCAAGAAGCACUGGAUGAGCAGGACAGAGCGAAGGAUCCCAGUGAGAGGAAGAGAGGAGGCGGACUCUAUCAAGGAUGCUUGUUGCUCAAAACGUUAGGAUUUUGUCUGCCAAGAUAAUUGGUAUCUGUCCGGGACUAGUCAUCUCUCAUGGAAACACAGCAGGAUGAUGAAACUGCUUCAGGGGACCUUAAAUGAGAGACAUUAGAACAAAUCACCUCCACUCAGUGAUAGCUUUGAAGAGCGCUCCUCACGGGAAGUAAAAAGCACGGUUUGACUAAAUGGUAGAGAUCUUAUCUCUCUUUUCCUCUUUUAAUUCUUGUGUUUGUAAAAAAGAACUCUCCUUGAAAAAAAGAUUCCUUGCAUUCCUAAUUUUAACAAUUAAUAAAAUAUUCCUCUUUGUCAGGUGA